rnacentral:misc_RNA from 1 species
GCUGGUAAUUGCUGUCAUGUUGGUAUGACUGAGUGGAAGUAGGGGCAGGAUCUGAAUCAGUCCCAUUUCUGCUGCUAGAAGUGUAUUGGGCAGUUGAUGGAUAGCUGCUAGGAGGAGCUGACUGUGGAGCAUAGGAAGAAUCUGAGCCUUGAUAAUAAGAAGGAUAGUGAGAUGGGAUUGAUGGGAGACUGCUCUCUGUGAAACCAGGAUAAGACUGGAAGUUGGGAUAUGAGUAGGAGGGUGUGUCAUGAUGCGGAUAAUUAUGUGGUGCAUGCUGGUGAAGUUCUCGUGAGUAGGA